rnacentral:sRNA from 1 species
CUGCUCCCUGACCCUUGCAGGAUCUGCCCAAAGGUGAAGCGCGUCUUCAGGUCAAUAGAUAAUCUACUAGAGAUUGUCCCCAGAGAACAGAACUGGGCCCUGAGGCCCACCGUUGCCCUUUCCUGAGAGUCCUAGCCCAGUGAAAGGAACACAGUUGACAUGUUGUUGAAGCCGGAGAUGUUGCCUGUAUGCGUAAAAGAGCUCUCUGUUUCAGGCUCAUGUACAGUCAGGAAUGGUUCCUUCUCAUCCAACUGCCCAUGCGCCAAUGAUGCUAAUGACGACACAGCCACCCGGCGGUCCCCAGGCCGCCCUCGCUCAAAGUGCACUACAGCCCAUUCCAGUCUCGACAACAGCGCAUUUCCCCUAUAUGACGCACCCUUCAGUACAAGCCCACCACCAACAGCAGUUGUAAGGCUGCCCUGGAGGAACCGAAAGGCCAAAUUCCCUCCUCCCUUCUACUGCUUCUACCAACUGGAAGCACAGAAAACUAGAAUUUCAUUUAUUUUGUUUUUAAAAUAUAUAUGUUGAUUUCUUGUAACAUCCAAUAGGAAUGCUAACAGUUCACUUGCAGUGGAAGAUACUUGGACCGAGUAGAGGCAUUUAGGAACUUGGGGGCUAUUCCAUAAUUCCAUAUGCUGUUUCAGAGUCCCGCAGGUACCCCAGCUCUGCUUGCCGAAACUGGAAGUUAUUUAUUUUUUAAUAACCCUUGAAAGUCAUGAACACAUCAGCUAGCAAAAGAAGUAACAAGAGUGAUUCUUGCUGCUAUUACUGCUAAAAAAAAAAAAAAAAAAAAAAAAAAA